rnacentral:rRNA from 1 species
UACGUAGGGGGCGAGCGUUGUCCGGAUUUAUUGGGCGUAAAGAGCUUGUAGGCGGUUUGGUAAGUUGGAUGUGAAAUCUCCAGGCUCAACUUGGAGGAGUCAUUCGAUACUGCCAUGACUAGAGUUCGGUAGGGGAGUGUGGAAUUCCUGGUGGAGCGGUGAAAUGCGCAGAUAUCAGGAGGAACACCCGUAGCGAAGGCGGCACUCUGGGCCGGAACUGACGCUGAGGAGCGAAAGCGUGGGGAGCGAACAGG